ensembl:misc_RNA Metazoa_SRP Metazoan signal recognition particle RNA
CCUUUUUGGUGCGCGCCUGUAGUCCCAGCUACUCGGGAGGCUGAGGCCGGAGGAUCGCUUGAGUCCAGGAGUUCUGGGCUGUCGUGUGCUAUGCCGAUUGGGUGUCCGCACUAAGUUCGGCAUCAAUGUGGUGACCUCCCGGAAGCAGGGGACCACCAGGUUGCCUAAGGAGGGGUGAACCGGCCCAGGUCAGAAAUGGAGCAGGUCAAAACUCCCGUGCUGAUCAGGAAUUUCAAAAACAAAUAUAUUUUGUGAAAACAAAGAUUCUU